rnacentral:lncRNA from 1 species
UUCUACCCCUGUAGGUCAUCACAGAGUAUUGAGCUAAGAAAGUAGCACUGACGUAUAUACACUACCAUGUGUAAGAUAUAUAGCUAGUGGGAAGCUGCUCUAUAGCACCGGGAGUUCAGCUCAGAGCUCUGCGAUGAAAGGUUUGAAUGAAAACAGUGGAACCUAAUUCUGAGAUGGAUUCAUGGAAAAAGAGAGCACCUAGCCAGAGGGGAGAAGGAGGCUCCUAGGUCUGCAUUUCAUGCAAAGGGGAGAAAAGGUAUUCUGGCCCAUGCCUGUGUUCUUCUGGGAGGAAUGAGCCUUGA